UACAGAGGUCCCAAGCGUUGUUCGGAUUCACUGGGCGUAAAGGGUGCGUAGGUGGUUGGGUAAGUCUGAGGUGAAAUCUCCGAGCUUAACUCGGAAACUGCCUUGGAUACUAUCCAGCUUGAGGGUUGGAGGGGGGACUGGAAUUCUCGGUGUAGCAGUGAAAUGCGUAGAUAUCGAGAGGAACACCAUUGGCGAAGGCGAGUCCCUGGACAACUCCUGACACUUAGGCACGAAAGCUAGGGGAGCAAACAGG
rnacentral:rRNA from 1 species